UACGUAGGCAGCGAGCGUUGUUCGGAGUUACUGGGCGUAAAGGGUGUGUGGGCGGUUUGGUAAGUCUGCUGUGAAAGCGCCUGGCUUAACCGGGCGAGGUCGGCGGAAACUGUUUCACUGGAGGACGGUAGAGGGGGGUGGAAUUCCCGGUGUAGUGGUGAAAUGCGUAGAGAUCGGGAGGAACACCUGUGGCGAAGGCGGCCCCCUGGGCCGGCCCUGACACUGAGACGCGAAGGCGUGGGGAGCGAACGGG
rnacentral:rRNA from 1 species